GAUGAACGCUGGCGGCGUGCCUAAUACAUGCAAGUCGAGCGAACGGACGAGAAGCUUGCUUCUCUGAUGUUAGCGGCGGACGGGUGAGUAACACGUGGAUAACCUACCUAUAAGACUGGGAUAACUUCGGGAAACCGGAGCUAAUACCGGAUAAUAUUUUGAACCGCAUGGUUCAAAAGUAAAAGACGGUCUUGCUGUCACUUAUAGAUGGAUCCGCGCUGCAUUAGCUAGUUGGUAAGGUAACGGCUUACCAAGGCAACGAUGCAUAGCCGACCUGAGAGGGUGAUCGGCCACACUGGAACUGAGACACGGUCCAGACUCCUACGGGAGGCAGCAGGAGGGAAUCUUCCGCAAUGGGCGAAAGCCUGACGGAGCAACGCCGCGUGAGUGAUGAAGGUCUUCGGAUCGUAAAACGCUGUUAUUAGGGAAGAACAUAUGUGUAAGUAACUGUGCACAUCUUGACGGUACCGAAUCAGAAAGCCACGGCUAACUACGU
rnacentral:rRNA from 1 species